rnacentral:tRNA from 1 species
GGCCGGGUAGCUCAGUUGGUAGAGCAGAGGAUUGAAAAUCCUUGUGUCGGCAGUUCGAUUCUGCCCCUGGCCACCA